rnacentral:tRNA from 1 species
GGGGUUGUGGUUCAGCCGUAGAGUGCUCGCCUAGCAAGUGGGAAGCCCUGGGUUCAAUCCUCAGCACCACA